GCUUAUGGCCAUACCACCCUGAGAACGCCCGAUCUCGUCUGAUCUCGGAAACUAAGCAGGGUCGUGCCAGGUUAGUACUUGGAUGGGAGACCGCCUGGGAAUACCAGGUGCUGUAAGCU
ensembl:rRNA 5S_rRNA 5S ribosomal RNA